CCUACGGGGGGCAGCAGUGGGGAAUAUUGCACAAUGGGGGAAACCCUGAUGCAGCGACGCCGCGUGGACGAUGAAGUAUUUCGGUACGUAAAGUCCUGUCAGCAGGGAAGAAAACGACAGUACCUGACCAAGAAGCCCCGGCUAACUACGUGCCAGCAGCCGCGGUAAUACGUAGGGGGCAAGCGUUAUCCGGAUUUACUGGGUGUAAAGGGAGCGUAGACGGCUGUGCAAGUCUGAAGUGAAAUGCCGGGGCUCAACCCCGGAACUGCUUUGGAAACUGUACAGCUAGAGUGCUGGAGAGGUAAGCGGAAUUCCUAGUGUAGCGGUGAAAUGCGUAGAUAUUAGGAGGAACACCAGUGGCGAAGGCGGCUUACUGGACUGUAACUGACGUUGAGGCUCGAAAGCGUGGGGAGCAAACAGGAUUAGAUACCCGAGUA
rnacentral:rRNA from 1 species